CUGACUUUAAUUUUAUUGGGGAUUUGGUUUCCGGUCUUCUCUGGUGUUGGACCCUUUGUUUGAUUUUAUUGGCUGUUUUGUUUCCGGUCUUCUCCGUUGUCGAACCCUUUGUUGGUCAGCGUUUUGUUCUCAUCUUGCCAUCGUUGGGAUCAAAAUUUGAAGGUCAGUUUGUUUUCAACGUUUUAUCUUUAUUUUUUGAUCUCUAGGGUAAGAAAUUUAAGCUCUUUGUUUAUUUUUUUAUUUUUUUUUUACGGAUCUGGAGGUUGGGACAAAUUUUUUGUCAAAUUGAAGGCUGAUCAUGUGCUACCUCUUCAGAUUAUUGAUAAAGAAAUUAUAUUGAGCUUAGCUAUGUUUAAAACAACUAUGUGCAAUUUUUUAUUCUUAGUUUGUGUUUAUUUGAAAGGAGCCUUGCCAAAUUGGUUUUAUCUGUUGUGUUUACGAUGGUUCUAAUAAAUUGGUUUUCCAUGUGAGUAAUUUUUUGGUCCAGAAUUGUAUAUGUUUGGAAGAAAGUCUGAUAUAAGUUGAGUUGGUAAUGUUUUUUCGCUUUGCUUCUGAUUGGUGUGUGUGGUUGCUUCAGAUCUUGAUCGUUUUUUAAGAACGGAGACUCGAUUUGUUCUUAUUGGUGUGUGUGGUUACUUCAGAUUUUAAUCGUUUUUUAAGAAGAGAAACUCAGUGUGCUUUCCACUUAUUUUAUGGAGUUGUCUUCGUUAUUGGUUUGAGUCAGUAAUGAGCGAGGAAAAAGCUUUGAAAAGGAAAGUAUUCAAAAUUAGUUAAGGGUUUUACAAAAAUUUAAAAGCUUAAAUACUUAAAUACAGCUUUCUUUAGAUUAGUAUGCAGAAAUCAAAAGGCUUUGAAAGGCACAUUGUUUAAAAUCAUUUGAAGCUUUUACAAAGGUUUGAGAGCUUCAGUGAUUAAUUAGUGCUUAGUUAUGAAUUCAACCAUAUGUUUAGUUAAAUUAAACAAUGAUGUAAUGUUGAAUUAAGGUGUGUGAUUCAAUUACCAUUGUGAAGAUUAGCACUUUUUAUAUUGGGGAUUAAGAACAUUGAUGGUGGCAAUUUUUCUGAAUGGUGAGGUAUUUCGUUUGCUUUCGUUGUCAAAUAGUGUUCUCACAUGGGUGGAGAACAAUACAUAUAUUUUAUAUGGUAGAUCAAUAACAAACACUCUGUUUGGUUCUAAUUUUUGGAUAAUUUGGUAUUAUUCCAGAGAUAAUGCAGACAAGAAACUGUUAACUCUUAUUUAUUAAAUAGAUGUAUCGAAUAUGUUUUGCAUGGCAAAGAUCAUAUCUGUUUGGUUAAUGAUACAACUAUUCCAGCUUUUCUUAAUUGAGUGGAGUGUAUUGCAGGUCAUUAGGCUCCUUUUGCUUCCAAAGUUUUUGAACCUGACCGAAGUCAGUUUGCUGAAUCGCUUUUGCGUGUUAGUGAUGUAUGAUUUUCUUUUUUGCACAAUCAUGAUGAAAAACUGAAUUUGACUUAUUUGAUUUUGGGUUUUUGUUGUUCCUGUUGCUAAUUUUGUGUUUUUUUUUCCAGUUUUUUUUGGCAGUGAAAUCAUCGCUGCCACCUAACAAAUCUAGUUGCUGUAAUAUCAAUUGUUAUUGUUGGAGGGAGGUAAAGUUACUAUCUUGCUUUAUAAAGUGUAGGAUUUUUUAUUUUUUUUUUGUAUUUUUUUUUCUUUGUUUCUUUCUUUGGCUUCUCUAAAAUUCUGUUGGUAUAAUAGUUCAUUUUUUUUUCUGUGGCUUUGUACAAUAGUGUGUCGUGUUGAAACACACUGUUCAUUAUUGGUUAUAGUUAUUUGUUCUGUUUUCACACUUUUUUCAUACAAAAUGUUUAAUUGCUGACUCAUUCCUCUUUAAUGCCAUGUUAAAUUGUUUUGAAACUAAUAACGAGAUAAACAAACUCAGACAAUAUUAAGACUGCUCAGUGUCUGCUGUUCAUUGAAUAAGUGUUGAUAAUAUUGAUCCAGCGUAAAUUUUAUUCUUACACCAGUCUUAAUACUCAUUGAGAAAACCGUUUGGUGAUAAUCUAAGUAUUAAACAAGCAGAUACAGUUUUGGCAUCAAUUUCAAUUAUUGUAUUUAUUUUCUAUUUGGCCAAUUCAUGAUUUCUUUGGUUGAUAAAAGGAUGAAAGCAAAGAAGAUGCACAUUUUUAUCAGUUGUUAUAUUAAUUUAUUAUUUUUUUUAUUAAAUUUGUAAUUCCAUUGUCCAGAGUGACUUCAAAACAAGGUUUAAAUUUUUUAAUAACAAACGGAGAAAAUAAUGUUGACAAUUAUACUUUGAAUAUAGUGUUUAAAGAUUUCUUACAAAUUUAUAAUUACGUGCUUCGCUUUAUGACCUCAUAGGUAAAAAAAUUUAUAUUUAUUUAAAUAUAAUUGAAUAACAUGUACAAUGCUAUUUAUCUAUAAUUUUCUGAUUACUGCUAAACAUAAUCAAUGUCUUCUUUUUGUAUAUGCAGAAUGAAAAACAGAUUCUUUGCAAGCAUCACACAAAGGCCAUCAUUUAUUCUGUAUGAAGACCACAGGUUAAUUCAGUCUUAAUUGAUUUUUUAUUUAUUUAAUACAAAACGUAUUAAAUAAUAUAUCCAUUUCUAUAUUCAUUUUGUCACGAUGCUGUUCUAGCAUCUAUUUCUGCUUUUCAAGUUUUCCAUUGUGAAAUUACAAUAUUGGUAUUUGAUUUUCGUAUUUGAUAAACUGUUCACGUCCCAUUGGUUCUGUUAUAGAAACUUGCACAUUUUCACAGGUUCUGUAUAACAAACAUAUCUAUAUGUAUUUAUUUCUUUGAUUGAAUUGUUUUAUUUUCAGAUUUGUAGCCAAUGAUCUUUUACCGAUUGUCUAAGAGCUUCCAUAGGACUUGCUCUGUGCUAUUCCUUUGCGGUAACCUCCAUUAGGGAUGAAAAAGCUACAAACGACAUUGUAAGUCUCAAAAGGUUUAAGAAAUUUUAAAUCUUUUCAUCACAUGGUUUUCAAAAUUUUCAUUAUGUUUGAAUUUGUAUCUGAUUUCAUAUUCUAGCGAGUUCAUCGUUGAUUUGUCAUCUUUGUCAUAUGAAAUGAUAGAGAACAGUUUUCUAGAUGCAAUGUUCAUUUAUUCUUAAUCAUAAAUUUAAUUUAAUUUUGUAGGUUCACCUUUUUCCAAAAGAAAAUUAAUCUGAAAAUCCAACUGAGGUGUAAAUCCCUGCGUUUACUUAACGUUUAUAAUUCAUCCUUCCCCACCCUGUAUCCCAAAUUACAAUUGAAGACUUCAACGGUAUGUACCAACAAUUCAAGCUUUAUUCCCUUUUUUUACUUAAUAUUUUAAUUUUACAUUCAAUCUUUACUAACAUUUUUUCUCAGGAGAAUUGGUUGUUACCAAUAUACAUAAUGACUAUCUUCUUUUGACUUACUCUAGAAUACAUGACUAAUCCCUUCCCUGAUCACUGAGAAGUUUACUUCAAUAUCUAAAAGUAUUAGCCAAGACGUUCCCAUUACAAAUAUACCAUGUCCACAUGGCUUAAUUCAACAAAAAAACAUUUGGUAAUAGAUAAAUUGUUAAAUAUAUUUAUAUAUCAUUUUUAUUGGUUAUUGGCUCCAUUUAACAAUUCCUCUAUUUCUAAAAUCUUCUUUCAUUUAGUUAAAGCAUGUGAAACAAUUACAUCUUUGGUUAGACCAUCUUUGUUUAUACUUUUAGACAUCCAUCUUAAACCCCUCAGUGAUUAGCACAGUCAUUAGCCAUGUAUUACAACUAAGCCAAUAGAAGAAAGUCUUUACCUACAAAUUGGUAACAAUUGAUUCUUCUGAGAAGAUGAUCGUUUGUCCGAAUUAUGCAAGUUGAAAUAACUUAGCAACUUAUACCUCUGUACUAUAUAGAACAGCGAACUAAACGUAUUUGGUCCAUUUUUGUAUACCGUCUCCUAUUUUUACAAAAAAAAUUUAUACAAAAUUGACUGUUAAUUAACAAUAUAAUUAUUCAAUUUGAUCACACAAUGCUUUUGACACACCCCGUCCCGAAGGAGGGCAUGCUGGCCGUCACGUGGGAGUGACGUAACCAUUUACACAGUACGGAAGCUUUAAAUUUACAACUCCUAAAAUGAUACACCCGAAGGUGAGUCCUAAUUUUGUCCAUUCUGUCAGAACACCUUGAAUUCCUCGUAGUCACCACACAUCAGCAAUCUUGAACCUGGAGGGGCGCAAAACCAAAUUAAGUGGGUCAGUAAAACAAAUCUUUUCCAAAUCCAAACAUUUCCCAAAACGUUGUAACCCCUCUCCGUAAAACUUGUAUACUUUCCCAGAAAUGUAAAAUAUCAAUAUAUAUAUAUAUUCUCAAAACUUCAAAUCACUAUCUCAACAUUUUUCAUUACAAUUAUGCCAUGCCAUGUCUAAAUUCAACAGUAUAAUAUGAAUGCAUCAACAUAAAUCAGGUGAAAGAAAAUAAUCAACCGGAGACCCUACAAUGGUCCUGUACGGCUGAAUGUAGAGCUCAAAAUCUCAUCUAACCGGAGUCACCAACUGUGACCUGUACGGCCAUGCCGAAGUCACCUAGUAUGACCUGUACGGCACUACACUGCACAUAAGUCGGAAUUACCUAAUGUAAUCUGUACGACUUAAUGGUGUAAUAAUAUGCUCUAGUGCUUUUCUCAUCAAUCAUUUGUGCACAUAAUCUAAGGUCACCUACCAGUCGGAACCCCUGUAAUGGUCUGUACGACUGGCAUGUCGGAACCACCCCCGGUGAUCUGUACGACUAGCAUCUACUUGGAUCCAAGGUGAGCAUACGAUGCAGGGUGAAUAAUAUAAGCACUAAUACCAAGUUGCAGUUUAUGAGCUCAACAUAUCUCAACAUCAUCAUAACAAUAAUAAUACUCACCUGUGCGUCCACCGCACCAUUUCACAUAUAUGCAUCAUACAACAAUUCAUAAUAUUCAUGAAAUUCUAUGCAUGGCAACCAACUAUAUUCCAUAUCACAAUUCAACAUACUUUUCAUUUAAGUUGAUUUCUGGGGAAAUCGGGUAUAUAGGUAUAUAUAUAGAAAGCAAUGCCCACUCACCUGGAGUUCGUCCAACAACUCCCUAGCACCACACAUCAAGGCGUCAUGACGAUCGCCGCCUAGAACAGUAAUCAAAUCCAGCCUCAGAAUUCAUAUCGAUAGAAUAUAUAACUUAUAUAAAAUACGUCACUACGUAGAUCGAUCCGGAAGAUCUGCCACUCAGAUUUUAAAUCCAUAACUUCCAGAGGUCCACAAUAUAUCUCUAGGACAACAUCCUAAAAUUUCAUCACCAUCCAACGGUCGGAUCUCCGUCAAUUAACAAAACUAAGUGACGAUUUACAUUCUAUUUUAUGAACUUACAACUCCAAUUCCGGAAGAUCCGUAAAUCGGAUUCCCAAUCCGUAAGUUCCUAUAAUCCUCAAAUAUUACGUAUUACAACGUAUCAAAGUUUGGUGACGAUCCAACGGUCGGAUCGUCAAUUCAUAUUUUCACCUAAAUGCAAAAACUAUAAAACGUUAUUUGAACACCUAACCAACAAUCCUUAAUAACUUUCUCAUACGGUGCUCAAUUUGGGUAUAUGAAUAUACCACAUUGACCUACUCGACGUCACGGACGUCGAAAAAUUUUUAAAAUAAUUUUUUACUGUAGCACGCGCCCCCACGCGCCAAGGAAGGCACGGGUCCACGCGCGCCCACGCGCACCUUCUUCCUCGCGAGUUCGCCGGACUGGUUUUUCUCCGGUGGCCAGAUUCUGGGAAAUUUUCAAAUGCCUCGUUCUCCUUCGUUUCUCACCCAUUUUCUUCGUAUAAUAUAUCAAAAUGAAGCCCCAAACAUGUAGAAUCACAAUAGACUACUUUUAAGCUUCAAAAACAACUAAAUCUCACCGGAAAAGUCGAAGCAAAACCGGCCAAACUUGCAGCUCGUGAUCCCGACGUCCAAUUCCUUCAAACGAAGCACUCCGAGCUUCCUUGGGACCUCACUAAGCUCACUGUGAGCUUGAAAUUCCCUGAAACAUCAAGAUUUACGUGUGCAUGAACAGUGCACUUUCACGGGGAGUUUAGAAUCUAGGUUUUCCGAAGUAAAACUUACCUGAAAUUGGUGUCUACGUGAUCGUGGAGGUUCCAGGAGUUCGAUGGUGGUCUUAACUCCGUCGUUGGUAGAAGUUUAGGGUGGUUUUGGAGUUUGUCCGUGUGAGUUCGAAGGAGAGAGACAGAGAAUGAGAGAUUGUGAGGGAGGAGAGAGAGACAGGGUACGGGAAAGAGGGAGAGAAUUGAGGGGUGUGGGAUCCUACCCAAUCCCCAACUACAAAUUCUAACAUAAAAUUUAAGUCUAAGUCUCCACUCUACUUACCAAAUUUUAGGAGCUUAGAUAUAACGAACGUAAAAAUUAUACCUUAGUCACGUAUUGGGGCAUUUUUGUAAUUUCAUGUCCUCGGAAUUAAAAAUUUCGGGACGGGCUGUGACAGCUUUAGUUCUAGGUUUUUUUUUUUUUCCCAAAGGUGCACCAAUAUAAGACUUUCGAUUAAACACCAACAUGAUUACGUUUGUGAUAAGACUGCAAUUAUACAAUUAGUAUUCGCUAAAUAUUACUUUUGAUAUAUGAGGUUCCUGAAAAAGAGAACGGAAGCAUAUUGUUAGCUUAGAUUUAUAUUUCUUAUUACUUUCAUGCAGAUUUUGAUUCCUGACAUUUUCGGUUCUAAAAACAAUUUGAUGCAUAAGAAUUUAUUCAUGCUUACUGUUAUUUUACAGCAUAACCCGUUAUUCUGUAAAGCAUCGCCUCCAAUCAUCAUUCAUUUGAAGGUACACCAUUCUAACACUAUCUUUUAUUUGCUUUGAUAAAAUUAUUUCUCAGCUGUUUAACUUAUAAACAAUGACAAUAUUAUUUCUUCCCUUGGUUAAAUAUUAAAUACCUAAACACUUUCCUGCGUGUUAACUGUCAAUUUACACACUUAACAACCCUUCACAAGCUCACAUUUGAAUCAACAUUUUUUCACACCGUACAACACAACUUUAACCCUUGAAUUACAAAUACAUUGUUUCUUACAAUUGCCCUCUUACUAGAACAAAACUGUACCAUUUGUUAUUUCUAUAUGUUUAUUCCUUCCUGUAAAUACGAUGAAGACACAUACAUGUUUGUAAAACUUUCUGCAAAUUUUAUGCAUUCACUUUUAAAACCCGCGGCAACGCGCGGGCACAAUUGCUAGUAUAUACUAAACGCCUAACAUUGUGGUUAAUUCCCUUUGUAUCCUUUUUACUGUUCAUUCACCAGUGUUCUUCCUUUUUUGCCCUUUCUUUGUUUCUGUCAUCACUGUUCAUUCUACAGUAGAAUGGCAUUUUCGUCCCUGCAGUGCAACAGGGGUUCUUUUAUUACGGUUGUGCCUGAAAUUGAAGGAGCGGAAAAACUAGGUUGUUCGGGAGACUUCUGUCUUUUGAUUUUGUCACCUGGCGGCUUAGCAUAGUGACACGUGUUGAUUGGGACGCGUGUCACUUUACCCAUCUCCUCUUUCUUUGCUUUUGCUUUUGCUUUGCUUUAGUUUUUUGUCUCCUCUUCCAGACUCCUCCCUUUUCCAUCGCGCUCUUCGAUCUCUGCUUUGUGUUCUUCGAUAUUUGCUUCGUGAUCUCUUCCAUCUCUGCUUUCUCCGUGAUUUCGUCUUUUCUGAUCGACUUCUAUUCGAAUUGAAAACCUUCUAGAUCUCUCUUCCCUAAAUUUCAGCAGCAAUUUUGCUCCAAAUCUUUCCAAUUGAAAAAACCCACAUCAUCAUCAUCUAUUCCUCAUCACCACAGGUACUUUCUACACCUAUUAUAUGUCCAAAUCUGUUCAAGUAUGUGAUUUGAUAUAAUUAGACUUCAGAAAAAACUUGAUUUUGUGGGUUAGAAAAAAUUUCGCUAAUUUUCUGGGUUCAUCCUCAUCACCAUCGACGCGGGCAAAGCUUCCCAAUUUGACCUCUUUCCGGAUUUUUCUAACCCAUCGUUUGGUUUCCGAGAGAAAAUAAUAAUUUAAUUAGAAAAACGUUUUUUUUUUGUUUUUUGCUUUGCUUUGAUGCAGAGAUUAAAGGCACAGAAGGAACCGUGUGCGCCGAAGGGUUCUUCAACAUUAAGAUUCAGAUACCCGAGGUUGGGUCAAGGAUUUUGCCUCUGAACUCAAUUCAGGUACACAUAGUCUUUCUCUACUUUGAUUCUCUCAUUAGUUCUUCGCUUGGGCACCGACAAAGUGUCAAACAUGAAAUUAUUGAAUUAGUUCGCAUGUUAUUUUCCACUACCUGAGCAACUGACGGAAAUCUAGGCCUGCCAUAUAACUAAUUGACUUCAAAUCUCAUCAAACAUCCUCAAUUUUUAUUUGUUUGUGGUUUAUCCACCCCCCUCCAUGUAUUUUAUUGACAUUUUUAGUUGAUCUGAAAAACAUGACAAAAAUCUUUACAAUUACGAUAUGUUGUUUAACAAAUGCAUGUGUGCAUUGUGCAAUUGUGUGGUGUAGAGCAUAAAAUUUCAUAUACUUCUCUAAAAAUUGGAUUCUUAUCGUUUCUCACAGGUGCCACACCCUCAUAUAUCAGUAGCUUGGCCAUUACCAAAAAAAAAAAAAAAAAAAAACUGGCGCUUUUGCUUGCCACUCAGGUUUGUCUCGAAAUUAGGUUGUUUUUUGUUCCGAUUUUUGUCCUUCAGUCAUGUUGUGUUUAUCCGUUUUUUAAUUGUUGAUACAGGGCUUGCAGAAAAAUUGUGAAAAACUGCAUUAAGGUACUCCCCCAAUGAAAUCGGCAAUCACCUGUUCACCCAAGGUCUCCCCCUAUUUCUCUUUCUCCUCACUUUCUCUCUAAAAUCUUUAUCCUUUUCAAAUUUAUUUGUCUAAUCUUUUUAAUUUGAAGUUUUCAGUCUUCUCUAUUAAUGCCAAAUAAAAAAAAAAUAGUAUUGGACUAAGACAUAGUUGUACUAAUGGAUCUCUAAUUCUAAUAAAUCUUGCAUGUUGGCCGAAGUGACAAUAGUCAGAGUUCCCCCUCUGUCUGUCUCUCUGAGUUUCUACUGAGACAUAGCUGUAUUAAUGGGUCUCUGAUCUUAAUAAAUUAAGGAUUCUCAACCCAUAUAUGAUUUUAGUUUUGGGUUUUUCUUUUUUUGAUAGCCAAGGUUAAUUAAUCCUUAAUACCUAUAUUAAUAAAUUUUGUUAUUAAUUUGAGCACAAAAGUCCUAAAUUAUUUUCUAAAUAUGGGGAGAGAUCUUUUUGCAUUGUUUUAAAGGAGCAUGAAAGUUCACUAUUGUAGGCCUAGCCAAAGUUAAUUAAUCCUUAAUACCUAUAUUAAUAAAUUUUGUUAUUAAUUUGAGCACAAAAGUCCUAAAUUAUUUUCUAAAUAUAGGGAGAGAUCUUUUUGCAUUGUUUUAAAGGAGCAUGAAAGUUCACUAUUGUAGGCCUCAUGUUCUGUUAAAUCUUUUUU
rnacentral:lncRNA from 1 species